rnacentral:rRNA from 1 species
GACGAACGCUGGCGGCGUGCUUAACACAUGCAAGUCGAACGGAAAGGCCCUGCUUUUGUGGGGUGCUCGAGUGGCGAACGGGUGAGUAACACGUGAGUAACCUGCCCUUGACUUUGGGAUAACUUCAGGAAACUGGUGCUAAUACCGGAUAGGAGCUCCUGCAGCAUGGUGGGGGUUGGAAAGUUUCGGCGGUUGGGGAUGGACUCGCGGCUUAUCAGCUUGUUGGUGGGGUAGUGGCUUACCAAGGCUUUGACGGGUAGCCGGCCUGAGAGGGUGACCGGCCACAUUGGGACUGAGAUACGGCCCAGACUCCUACGGGAGGCAGCAGUGGGGAAUAUUGCACAAUGGGCGGAAGCCUGAUGCAGCAACGCCGCGUGCGGGAUGACGGCCUUCGGGUUGUAAACCGCUUUCGCCUGUGACGAAGCGUGAGUGACGGUAAUGGGUAAAGAAGCACCGGCUAACUACGUG